AACGCGUAAGAAUCUACCUUUAGGAAGGGGGCAACAGUUGGAAACGACUGCUAAUUCCCUAUAUGCUGAGGAGUAAAACGGUAUUAACCGCCUAAAGAUGAGCUUGCGUCUGAUUAGCUAGUUGGUAAGGUAAUGGCUUACCAAGGCGAUGAUCCCUAGCUGGUUUGAGAGGAUGAUCAGCCACACUGGAACUGAGACACGGUCCAGACUCCUACGGGAGGCAGCAGUGGGGAAUAUUGCACAAUGGGCGAAAGCCUGAUGCAGCCAUGCCGCGUGUGUGAAGAAGGCCCUCGGGUUGUAAAGCACUUUCAGUCAGGAGGAAAGGGUGUGAGUUAAUACCUCACAUCUGUGACGUUACUGACAGAAGAAGCACCGGCUAACUCCGUGCCAGCAGCCGCGGUAAUACGGAGGGUGCGAGCGUUAAUCGGAAUUACUGGGCGUAAAGCGUACGCAGGCGGUUUGCUAAGCGAGAUGUGAAAGCCCCGGGCUCAACCUGGGAACUGCAUUUCGAACUGGCAAACUAGAGUGUGAUAGAGGGUGGUAGAAUUUCAGGUGUAGCGGUGGAAUGCGUAGAGAUCU
rnacentral:rRNA from 1 species